GAACGGAUCACCAUCAGAGAUAGAAACCUGAUCAUUAAUGAGUUUACAGCCAGAGACGCAGGAUCAUACAGAGUUCUGGGCUCUGAAGAAGAACCUUUGAUCACAGUGACAGUCACAGAAUCAAAGGAAAUACAAGACGACACUGAUGGCACUAAACAUCGUAGCUACUGGAUUGGACUGACUCCAAUCACUGUUUUGGUGGUUCUGCUGGUUCUGAUUCGGAUAGCUGUUACGUCACACAAGCGUCUGCACAUACCUUACCUGCCGGGUGUCACUCAAUGAGCAAAAGAGGGACUGAGUACAGGAGACCAGAAGCAUUGAGGGCCCGUACUGAUGAGGGCUCGGUGGACCCUGAUUAAUCUACAGGUGUACAGGACACUUAGUGACAUCACUGGUUACAGCUGGAAUUCACCACAUGACCUUAACAUAUUGUUAACACUGUAAACAUCACACACUUAAUAACUUUAUUAACGUUAUAAACAAUAUCAAGAACUGACUCUAAAUAUCAAACACGUGAUACCCUCAGACUGGAUGAAAUCAGAGUCUGAAACUAAAAAAAAUAUCAGUCUGUGCUCAUCAUACAGUACAGGAUUUAUUUGUGAAAUCUGUCAGCUCUAAACGACUAACCAAAGUAUAGCACCAUAGCAAUGACUGAAGGCAAAUAACUUCAACUCAGGAAAAAAAUCUGUACAAAAGCCACACUACUGUACAUUUGCCUUCAGAGCCAACAGAAGUUGUGAAGCUGCAUGACAGAUUCAGACUCAAUCAGAGCUAAAAUCUGCUGUUUGAACUGUUGAGAUCAGACUGAAAUCAUCAGGGAUCUUGUUUAAAAUGAGCUGUUUUAACAUGAUAUGCAGUUGUAAGUGAUACUCAACAGUCAGAUGCAGCACAAUGUUUUAUGGACUUUCCCCUCUUAUUAUUAGCUCUUAUUACCUGUCUGUAUCUGGACUGUGUCGGACUCACAAAUCUACACACACUGUUUUAUCAGUCAUAUGAUCUGUGCAAGCUAACAGGCCACACAUCUCCUCAAGUACUCCUCGCUGCAGACUGUAGCGUGGUGACGUCAGGCACCUACGUUACCUAUGUAUUUACAGUAAAUACGCAGGUUAAAUAAUGGUUCAUUCACUUCCA